rnacentral:SRP_RNA from 1 species
GCUGGGUGUGGUGGUGCACACCUGUAGUCCCAGCUACUUGGGAGGCUGAGGCAGAAGAAUCACUUGAACCCGGGAGGCGGAGGUUGCAGUGAGCUGAGAUCAUGCCACUGCACUCCAGUCUGGGUGACAGAGUGAGACUCCGUCUCAA